rnacentral:rRNA from 1 species
UACGUAGGCAGCGAGCGUUGUUCGGAGUUACUGGGCGUAAAGGGUGUGUAGGCGGUUGUUUAAGUUUGGUGUGAAAUCUCCCGGCUCAACUGGGAGGGUGCGCCGAAUACUGAGCGACUAGAGUGCGGGAGAGGAAAGUGGAAUUCCUGGUGUAGCGGUGAAAUGCGUAGAUAUCAGGAAGAACACCAAUGGCGAAAGCAGCUUUCUGGGACGGUACUGACGCUGAGACGCGAAAGCGUGGGGAGCGAACAGG